rnacentral:rRNA from 1 species
UACGUAGGCAGCGAGCGUUGUUCGGAGUUACUGGGCGUAAAGGGUGUGUAGGCGGUUGUUUAAGUUUGGUGUGAAAUCUCCCGGCUCAACUGGGAGGGUGCGCCGAAUACUGAAUAACUAGAGUGCGGGAGAGGAAAGUGGAAUUCCUGGUGUAGCGGUGAAAUGCGUAGAUAUCAGGAGGAACACCGGUGGUGUAGACGGCUCUCUGGACCGUAACUGACGCUGGGACACGAAAGCGUGGGUAGCAAACAGG